rnacentral:rRNA from 1 species
UACAGAGGGGGCAAGCGUUAUUCGGAAUUAUUGGGCGUAAAGGGCGCGUCGGCGGCCUGGCAAGUGGAAGGUGAAAUCCCUCGGCUUAACCGAGGAACUGCCCUCCAAACUGCUUGGCUUGAGUCCGGGAGAGGUGAGUGGAAUUCCCAGUGUAGCGGUGAAAUGCGUAGAUAUUGGGAGGAACACCAGUGGCGAAGGCGGCUCACUGGACCGGAACUGACGCUGAGGCGCGAAAGCGUGGGGAGCAAACGGG